rnacentral:lncRNA from 1 species
GGAACUAGGUGGGUACAGCCAACAGGAGGAUACAACACAAAUAAAUGAUAAGGGGCAGGGGAAUCAGGAAGAUACCAAAGUGGCAGAACUGAUUACGCGACUAAAAAAUGAGGAACAUCUCAAAAGAGAAAAAAGUCUGAGUGAAAUUGAAAACUUGAGGCAGGAGCGGGCCGAGGAAGAGAGAAAACUGUGGCGAGUCAGUGUGGAGAGACAGGGCCUACACAACGAACUAUGGAGACUGAAGAGAAAACUAUUUGUUAUUGCCAGAGAGUGUGCCCAGAGCCAUGCGGCGCAAGGUGCCCAACAACGACAAGUAGAGCAACUUAAGAAAGAAGGGGUAAGAAAAUCACUUUAUAAAUACAUACAGUGAGUCAUGAUUAGUUUUCAUAUUAUUGUUUUAGGAGGAACUACAGACUGCAGAGGUCCAGCUGAGAGAGGACCGUGAAAAACUUCAACAAGAACAUGAACAGCAGCGUGUAAGCCUUCAAGAACAGCUUAAUGUUACCACUUCCAGUAUUUUGAAAAGCACUCAAGAAGAGCUGAACCAGUGCAGACGUCACUCAUGCGGCGAUGUGCAACAAUACCUGCAGGAUAGUCUCAAAGCACUGGAAGAAAGGUCAGUGUAAUGCACCACUUAUUUUGAGUUACCAGCAUUCAUACAUUGACUGUAGGAAAAAGAAGCAUAUCAUACAGUAUUGACAAGAUGUUCAUUAAUUUGGACAGGUAUGGACCUAUUCUGGAUGCACUUUUGAAGAGGAAUGACACAGCAGUGGAUGCUUGUGCAAAAGUAAAAGAGCAGACCCAGGAACUGAGAGUUCAGCUGACACCUUUAAGGGAGGAGAUACAAAAACUCACGCACCAGAAAGUUUGUUUGGAUGAAAAACUUAAGCUAAUCAGUUUCCAAAGAAAAGAGAAGAUGGGGCAAUACAAGGAGAUAGUAGACUCCUUGGAAGAAAGCUGUAGAGAACUAAAGACGGAGCUGUGGAUUCAUAAGACGAAAACCAAUGAGAUGAAGGAACUAAAGGAAAUUCUCACUAAAAAGUUGACAACAUACAGGUCAGCUAUUGAAAACCACAUCGACUGUGACAAGGAAACAACAUAAAUGUCUUCUUCUCUUGGAGUGAUUGUAAUAUUUGAUUAACUCCAUUAUAUCAAUUGUGUAACUUUAAAUGCACUUUAUAGAGGUUUGUUUGAAAUAUUUUUUAUUCAUGUGACAUGAGAGCUUUUUCAAAUAAAUAUGUAGACUCAUACAGUACAAGCAACAGGUAUCUCUAUGUGGUGAAUAGUACAGAUUAUAUUAUUAAUGUGAUUAAAGAGUAAUAUUAGGCCUGAUGUAAUUGCAGUAAAUAUAAUUUUGAAAACCUGGCUUUAGGUGUCUGGAUACUUAGAUAUUAAAUAGUGAACUAUAGUAGUUUUGUAUUUAACCAGAGGUGGGUAGAGUAGCCAAAAUAUUCACUCAAGUAAGAGUAUCGUUACUUUGAAAUAAAAGUAAAAGUAAAAAAGAACAAGGAGAAAAUGUUACUUGAGUAGUGAGUAACUGAGCUAAAAAAAAAAAAAGUCAUGCUAUAAAUUGUGUGAAACAAAACAGAAAAACAAAAUAAUUCUAAAGAAAAAGGUGCACGAGACGAUGUAAAAAUAAAGCAUUUCCCUCUUAAAUAUUUACCCACAGUGGGUAAAUAUUUUCUUUAAGUAAUAAUUAUCUUUAGUCAAGUAUAAGAGUACAGAUUAAAAUUUUACUCAAGUAGAAGUAAAAAGUACCGUGCGAUAACACUCACGUAUGUCGCUACUUGAGUAGGCUAAAUGUAACGGAGUACCCGCCUCUGUAUUUAACCAUGUAAUAUUAUGCUAUAAUUAGUAACAGUUCAACAUAGAAAAGGAGGAUAUGAGUAUUUUACCCAAUGUGUCUUCUUUUCUUGACGAUCACUCAGGAGCCGCAUGCUUUUUUCGGACCUCAUCUGCAAAAGAUAAAAUAAUGCUGAAAGUUUUUUCCUGUGCUUUAAGGUCUUUUGAAAUAUAACCUGUCCAGGCUUGAAAAACAGCUUAGUGUGCCCUGACAGUUUCCUCCAUAAAUGUUGGCUAAAUUCAUCCACGGUUUGCAUUUCUCGCUGAAAUAACGACAACACACGCGCUAUGGUUUCCAUUGGACCGCUGUCACUGCACGCCUGAGUAAAUCAAAAUCUGAUUGGGUUCUUUCAGCAAGCUAACUUCCUAUUGGCUAGCCCGGACGAGGCGCUAAAGUUGUGCAUGCAGCUGCAGCAU